rnacentral:tRNA from 1 species
GGGAAUGUGGCUUAGUGGUAGAGUGCUUGCCUAGCAUGCAGGAAGCCCUGGGUUCAAUUCUCAGUACCA